AAAGAAAUACCUUACAAAAAAAAGCUUCUAACUUUUUAAAGAGCUCAA
rnacentral:tRNA from 1 species